rnacentral:rRNA from 1 species
AUUGAACGCUGGCGGCAUGCUUUACGCAUGCAAGUCGAACGGUAACAGGCCGCAAGGUGCUGACGAGUGGCGAACGGGUGAGUAAUGCAUCGGAACGUGCCCAGUCGUGGGGGAUAACGCAGCGAAAGCUGUGCUAAUACCGCAUACGAUCUGUGGAUGGAAGCGGGGGACCGUAAGGCCUCGCGCGAUUGGAGCGGCCGAUGUCAGAUUAGGUAGUUGGUGGGGUAAAGGCUCACCAAGCCGACGAUCUGUAGCUGGUCUGAGAGGACGACCAGCCACACUGGGACUGAGACACGGCCCAGACUCCUACGGGAGGCAGCAGUGGGGAAUUUUGGACAAUGGGCGCAAGCCUGAUCCAGCAAUGCCGCGUGCAGGAAGAAGGCCUUCGGGUUGUAAACUGCUUUUGUACGGAGCGAAAAGGCUCUCUCUAAUACAGGGGGCUCAUGACGGUACCGUAAGAAUAAGCACCGGCUAACUACGUGCCAGCCGCCGCGGUAAAAC